UGCACCGGAUCCCAUCAGAACUCCG
rnacentral:ncRNA from 2 species